rnacentral:lncRNA from 1 species
CGCCACUCGUAUAAAUUGAAACAAAAGUAAUUCAUCUAAAAUCCAAAUGAAUGCCUUCAACUUCUAAGAAUCUAAAUACACGGUAAUAUUCAUAAUGCAACUAAUACGACUUGAAAAGUUCCAAUUUCUUUAGAUCGACCAAGUGAAUCUUGUAAUGAACCUGAACUGAGCAAGGUAUAAAAAUAGAGUAAUGAAGUUUAACCCUAAGAUAGAUUUAGAAAUAUAAUUUAGGCUUUUGUAGCCGACCCCAAAGAUACGUGGUCAGCCCCGACAAACUUGCCUCGAAACAAAUAUAAUUCAUCGAGUGCGGUUUAUUUAUUGCUUCGGGUUUGUCUAGUGCGGUUUAUCUGAUUGACGUGGUUUGUAGACUAUUGCAUCAACCCGAAGGUUUACCCAAUAUACACUCGAAGGUAGUGACUACGGAUUCUUCUGUCAUCCAAAAUAAUAAUAAUAAUAAUAAUGAACGCCUGCAAGAUUGAAGAAUUUUUCCUUUCUUCUUCUUGGCUUUUGCCUGUAAAUUUGAGUUCUUCAAGUGUUCAUCAUCAUCAUCAGCAGUUAAAUCACUCUGGUAAUGGAUUCUACUAUACCCUUCAGACACUGAAGAAGAUUUCUUUAAAGAAGAUGACCUCUUCCCCACUCUUUGAAUAAAAGAUUUCUCAGUCACGUCCUUAUGAGAAGGGACAGAACAUUUUCUCUUCAAGAUUUCUCCAAAAAUCUCUCCUAGGCCAUCCUCAAUUUCGUGUUGGCUAUCUAAUCCGGCAUUCUGGGAUAAUUUUUAGGGCAUUUUUGUUUUAUUUCCAGGGAUUUGGGGGGGUUUUAGCAAUAGAUGUUGGUGUAUGAGAUGGGAAAGAAAGAUCAGAAAGAUCUAUAGAUUUUGAUCUUGUUUUAUAAACUUGGUCUGAUUAUUGAGUAUGAUCCACUCAUUUUUUCAAGAGAAAUUGUGGAUUUGGGAUGAAUUUCAGUGGAAUGUGAAAGAACGAAGACGAG